UGUCUUGACAGAAAGAGACACUGAGUGAACAGGGCUUUCCUUACCCCAAUAUGGAUGCAAAUGAUAAGAGUGCUAAUAAAGAACUAGAAUAGACAACAUUGCAUCAAUGAGGACUUUCACAUUGCAUUUCUUCAAACAAGGAACAUGCUUGGAUCCCACAGUUACAAUAAUGCACAGAGAUGCUCUUUCAGGCCCAGUGCCAGAGAUGGACACCAUGGCAGAGUCUCUGAAGAGAAUCAGGCCCCUAUGUCAGAAGAGGGAGCCUCUUCUUAUUUAUACUUCUUAAGGUUGGGGUGAGGUUUACAGUAGUAGCUGGUGGCCAAGUUCUAUGAUUUCUAUGCAGAAUGAGUGUGGCAUGAUAACCUUAACAUCAAUACCCUUAGAUGUUAACUCACUUGGUGUCUGCAGUGUCUCAGUGGGAUGCCUGGCCCCUUCAGUGAGAUGGGAAGAGCUGCUGUAAAGCAGAGGCUAGAUGCUAACAUUAUUCCCUGUUAGGAUCUAGGGUGGAGAAAUCCUGUACCAUCCUAACACCCUGAAAGAGGUGUGCAGCAAGAGAUUUCAUCAAAAGAUGACAUGAAACCAGAAAGGAAGACAUGUGAUCUGGAGACCACCCACAGGGCCAAAUGUGAACUGGCAGACUGGAAUGGCUACAGAUUAUCUGACCAGCCACACUGACCCUAGCAUCCUAAGAUGAAACCUCAGGAAACUUGAGAGCACAGAAGCUCCGAUGAGGAAAGAGAUGUAUUCCUUAUCAAAGAACAGAGACAUUUCAAGAACGAGUCAUCGUCCUCCCUUAAAAUUAGAAAAAAAGUGGGGGUUUCUAUGUGCAGGUGGUAUCCUGACAGGAAUAGUUGGGGAAUACAAGGAAUAACCUACAGGCCCUCCUUGGGUUGAAAUCCCCAGGACAGUUAAAACUCCACCCCUUUCCUGUGGACUGGGAACUGCUGCUUCCGGUUCCUUCUGGGACUGAGUUCUGGUCCAACCUUCUAGACAUGAGAGCAUUAUGGCUCUCUCUGUGCCCCAAGUUCACUGACGAUGAAGAAAGCAGCACUUCCUAUGCUUAACAUUUAACUCUGAAAGCCAGACAAUGCCCACCACACAGUUUACCUUCUUACCCAUUUUAGGUAUAAAGUCCAGUUGUGUUAAGUACACCCACAUUGUGUGUACUUUUGAGAACUUUACCUGACAAAAUGAAAGUCUGUCAAACAACUUCUGACUCCUGGUACCCCCAGCCUCUGGCAACUCCAUUUUACUUUAAUACAUUUGACCACUGCUCACUAAUUACUCAAACAAUAUGGAAUAAAACUCUUUAAAUAUU
rnacentral:lncRNA from 1 species